rnacentral:tRNA from 1 species
AAUAUUAUGCCUGAUUAAAGGAGUAAAUUGUAAAUUUAUUGAUGAAAUUAAUUUUUCUAAUAUUA